rnacentral:rRNA from 1 species
AGUGAACGCUGGCGGUAGGCCUAACACAUGCAAGUCGAACGGCAGCACAGUAAGAGCUUGCUCUUACGGGUGGCGAGUGGCGGACGGGUGAGGAAUACAUCGGAAUCUACUUUUUCGUGGGGGAUAACGUAGGGAAACUUACGCUAAUACCGCAUACGACCUACGGGUGAAAGCAGGGGAUCUUCGGACCUUGCGCGAUUGAAUGCGCCGAUGUCGGAUUAGCUAGUUGGCGGGGUAAAGGCCCACCAAGGCGACGAUCCGUAGCUGGUCUGAGAGGAUGAUCAGCCACACUGGAACUGAGACACGGUCCAGACUCCUACGGGAGGCAGCAGUGGGGAAUAUGGGACAAUGGGCGCAAGCCUGAUCCAGCCAUACCGCGUGGGUGAAGAAGGCCUUCGGGUUGUAAAGCCCUUUUGUUGGGAAAGAAAAGCAGCAGGUUAAUACCCCGCUGUUCUGACGGUACCCAAAGAAUAAGCACCGGCUAACUUCGUG